rnacentral:tmRNA from 1 species
CAACGCCACCGGCCGAUGAUGCAUGCAUGGUCGUGCAAAGACCGUGAACUGGAAGCGUUGCGGACGGGGGUUCGAUUCCCCCCAGCUCCACCGAAGCCAUUGCGUGGAUGGUUUCGGUGGGGCUGACCUGGUUUCGACGUGGCGACCGAAAGCAAGCGGACGGCCCGAGAGGUGACCGACGUAAUCGGCGCAAAACCACAAACGCCAACCAAGACGUUUAUCACGUCGAGCAGAUGCCUCUGGCAGCCUGACGCCGCGUAAGAAACGGCACUCGACCGGGUACGCCCACCCUCGCCU